rnacentral:tRNA from 1 species
GCGCCCUUAGCUCAGCUGGAUAGAGCAAUGCCCUUCUAAGGCAUCGGUCUCAGGUUCGAAUCCUGAAGGGCGCACCA